UACGAAGGGGGCUAGCGUUGCUCGGAAUCACUGGGCGUAAAGGGUGCGUAGGCGGGUCUUUAAGUCCGGGGUGAAAUCCUGGAGCUCAACUCCAGAACUGCCUUUGAUACUGAGGAUCUUGAGUAUGGGAGAGGUGAGUGGAACUGCGAGUGUAGAGGUGAAAUUCGUAGAUAUUCGCAAGAACACCAGUGGCGAAGGCGGCUCACUGGCCCAUUACUGACGCUGAGGCACGAAAGCGUGGGGAGCAAACAGG
rnacentral:rRNA from 1 species